UGUUUAGAUGAUUGGGAUCAGGCCGUCAGGAGGAACAAGAGGGCGGAGACAAAGUCCUGUGUGGAGACAGGAAAUGAGGACAUAGGGAGGCGCAUCAUAGUCAAACCCCAAAAAUGUGAAAAGAGAACAAAGAAACGAAAUGGGAAAAAGGCAGGACAAGGUCCACAUUUCAGGACUUCCCUUCCUCCUCCACCCCAGAUAGAAUCCCCCAUUCCACGGCGUAGCGCACUACAAGUAUCUUCACCCCCUGUGACUGAUGACGGUAGAGUUUUGCAAGGGAAUGAUGGUUAAAAACAAAUACAAAUAAUUGCAUAGAAGUCAAGAAGACACUAUGUUUCGAAACAAAAACACAUAACCUAAAUUCUUAUCUUGUUCUUUCUGUAGAUUACUCCCCUCCUUCACCGGCAAGAGACGUUUUUACAGAAAAUGAUGGUAAAGUUAUGCAUGAUGAUUCGAUUGCGUCUUCAUUUGAAACGCCAUUGCCUAUCUCUACUGGGGACGGUAAAGUGGCGGGUGGAGAGGGUGGUUAAAACCAAACUAGUAACUCUUAUCAACAGGUUAUGACAGUCAUCUGUCUAUACUAACCCUACACAUUAUGCUUUAUACACAUUACUUAGGUGACCGAAGGGAGAGAGAAACCAUACCAAUCUGGGCAAAGAA